rnacentral:rRNA from 1 species
GGCGCGAAUCUUCCGCAAUGGACGAAAGUCUGACGGAGCAACGCCGCGUGAGCGAAGAAGGCCUUCGGGUCGUAAAGCUCUGUUGUUAGGGAAGAACAAGUGCCAGAGUAACUGCUGGCACCUUGACGGUACCUAACCAGAAAGCCACGGCUAACUACGUGCCAGCAGCCGCGGUAAUUAAAAAAA